UUCAGAUGUUAUAGGCUACAUAUUCAUUAAUCAGAGCCUUUUUAAUUUAUACCAUGAAAAUAACUCUUCUUUUUUCAGUGUUGUCUGCCGUCUGGUUUUUGUAAGUGAUCAGUCUAGCACCUCUUAAUGAUCAAUAAAAACUGAAUAGCAUUUUUAAUUCAUAAAGACAUUUGCAAUAUUUCAAAAUCAUGUUUUUUUUGUUUUUUUUUAAUCAGCUGCUGAAUACCACCCCAAGGGCUCUUUUCAGAAUCACAUACCCAUCGUCUUUGGCUUUCUGCUGAACACCACCCCAAAGGCUCUUUUCAGAGCCAUAUUUCACAUCGUCUUUGGCUUUUUUCUGUGAUGCAGAGACCAGCUGUGGUGA